UACAGAGGGUGCGAGCGUUGUCCGGAAUCACUGGGCGUAAAGGGCGCGUAGGCGGCUGGGUAAGCGUGUGGUGAAAGCCCGGGGCUCAACCCCGGGUCGGCCAUGCGAACUGCCCGGCUGGAGCACGGUAGAGGCACAUGGAAUUCCGGGUGUAGCGGUGGAAUGCGUAGAGAUCCGGAAGAACACCGGUGGCGAAGGCGGUGUGCUGGGCCGUGGCUGACGCUGAGGCGCGACAGCGUGGGGAGCAAACAGGAUUAGAUACCCC
rnacentral:rRNA from 1 species